rnacentral:lncRNA from 1 species
UUCGGAUUUGGAAACUCUUCCAGACCACUCUACAUAUUAAAAGAUCGAAUUUGGAUCAGGUCCAAGUUUGGUACGGGUAUAAAGUAUCCGACCAGUAUCCAAAACUUUAAUGGGUAAUUUUUUUUACUUGUAUACUAUCCAUUUUUUAUCGGAUCCAUUUCGGGUCUGGGUAGGACCCGGAUCAGGUAUAGGAUAUCGAGUAUUUUGGACAGCUUUAAUGGAGCCGUACGUAAUCAUUCUUCUUCUUUUUUUUCUUUUUUUUUUUAAUUUGCAUCAGUUUGCAAAGCACCAACAAAAAUAGGAUUGUUUUUGCAUUUAGACUACUCUUUUUUCUUCUUUUUUUUUACAAAUGGCCCAAAAUAAUUUAUAUUUGAGUUCUCUCCCUCCCACGUGAGCGCCACGCGCGACAAGGGAGGGCCAUGUUGGCAUUUUGUAAACUAAACUUGGUAAUCCAGUUAUCGUGUUUAAAUACAAUGAUUGGAUUAUUGUAUAUAUAUAUAGAGUUCGAUUGGGAUACUAUCAAUAGCACCAAGCACUUAGUGCUACCGAGUUUUCCACCAUAUUUAACCCUUUGAUUAUUUUCAACCGUUAGAUUAUACUAUUCAACCAACAACUUACUCAACGCUAAGGGGCUCACAUCAUCCUAACCGUACAAUCCUUCAUUUAAGGGCUGAAACCCUAAUAGCACCAAUAGCUUAGUGCUAUUGGUAGUAUUCCAGCCUAGUUCUAUAUAAAUAUAUAUAUAGAGUAGAGCUCCUGUGCUUUUAAAAGCACAGGAGCUCCUGUGCUUGGGAUUUUAUUACCCUUGGAUCACCUAGCGCGUCGAGAUCCGUGCAAUAUUGAUGACAGAAGGUAACGGAGAUGCCGUUACGCUCUUUUUGACGCACACGCUACGCUCUCUUCUCUCUCUCUAGCGUACACACACACACUUUGUCUCUCUCUCUUUCUUUUCUUGUAGGAGCCCUCCUUGGUGCUUUCCCUUUCCUCUCUCUCUCUCUCUCUCUCUCUCUUCGUCUUUCUCCCUCUCUCUGCUAGCGCUCUCCCUCCCGAUCCGACGCUCCGACGAAGCCGCUGCCCCUACACACCUCCGCCCACGCCUUCCCGACUUUGCGCAAGUCGAUCGAUUCCGGACGAGGCGAGAGGCGUCGACCUUGUGCACACCUCCGAUUCCGGCAGCCCCUGCACUACGAUCCCGGAAGCCAACUCGGGUGAGCACGAUUUUUCGAUCACAUCACUGGUACCAAAAAAAAUUUAUAUCAUAAUAUUUUUAAGAAAAUAAAAUUUUAUUUUUUUGUAUGCAGAAAUUUAUUUUAAUGUGGCCUUCUCUUAUGUUUAGUUCAAAUUAGUUCAAAUUAGUUUAUGUGUAUGUGGCCUUCUCUUACGUUUCAUUUCGGGUUUUUUAUUUUUAAUCAACCCCUGGACUGCAAUCAUGAAACUUUUUUCAAAUUCACAAACACCUAGUCUGCAGAGAUAGAGUAUGGUGUUUUGAACUAAAAUUUCUACAUCUCCACAAACACCUAGCCACAUACACAUAAACUAAUUUGAACUAAAAUUUCUAAACAAAAGUUUCCAAACUAAUUCAACAGGAUAUGCACAUUAACUGAAGAUGAAAAAAAUCCCAAAGAAAAUUCUACAUGGACACCACAUUAAGUAAGAAACUAAUUUAAACUUUUCACAUAUCCACAAACACAAACUAAUUUAAACUAAUUUAAACUAAAAUGUCACAUAUCCACAAACACAAACUUUCACAUAUCCACAAACACAAACUAAUUUAAACUUGUAAGAAACUAAUUUAAACUUUUCACAUAUCCACAAACACAAACUAAUUUAAACUAAUUUAAACUAAAAUUUCACAUAUCCACAAACACAAACUUUUCACAUAUCCACAAACACAAACUAAUUUAAACACAAACUCUAAUGUUCAGAUGCGACAAAUCUGAGUAACAAAUCAAUUAAACUUGAU